AGCCUAAUGUGUCUUUGGCUAACACUAAAUUCAGCUAGCCGGCUGCUGCUAGCUAGCAAGAGCUAUGAAGUGUACCUGAAGUGUUUGAUUAAUCUUCUUUGACAUAUUUAAGAGUAACAAGUAAAACUGUUAAAUGUGACAGAAAUAAUAUACUGCCAGUUAAUGUUACGAACUUAAAAUUAUGCUGCUUCUAUCCUAGUGUGUCUUGGGCUAACAGAUACAGCUAGCAGGCUGCUGCUAGCUAACAAGAGUUUUGUAGUGCUAUUUCCCCUGUAGUUUUACAUUAAUCUGUUUAGCUUAAUUUUACUAUUGCAAAUGAUACAGUUAAACUACUACAAUACUGUUAGCUAGCAGGCUAAGCUAAUAGGAGAUGUACACCCAAGAAGUCCCCCUGCUGUUUAUAUUCUCAGUUUGACCAUCUUUCUGUUUCUGUCUGAACCACGGUGAAGCAGUGACCUGAUGACAUCGCCGUCCUCGAGCCACGUUUGAGUCACGCUGCAGAGCGGCCGAGCUUCUGUCAAAGAUCAACAGCUAACAUUUAAGCUGAAGACAGACAGGAAAUGUGGGGAGUAGAGCGCGGGCGAAGACAUGCAGGAGUUGGCCGACCGGCCGGGAAUCAAACCGGCGACCCCUGCGACGAGGACUCUCUGUAUGUGGGGCGCUUAGACCGCUAGGCCACCAGCGCCCCACACAUUAUUUUAACUUCACUUUUUAAUAUAUAUUUUUUAUCUCUAAGUAGCUGUCUAUUGUAUUGUCUGGAAUUGACUUAUUUGAUGUUUUUGUUAAUUUAUUCUCUUUGAUUCAUGGGGCACAGUAUUUCACCUCCAUGUAUGCUGAGGCGUGUACUUGGAAGUGACAAUAAACAG